UAAUCAGUGACGGACCCGCAUCCAUCCGGUUGUCUUCGCGCUUCUGAAUGUGCGCUUUUGUUGCUUAUGGCUACAAGACAUUGAAAUGUUCUGUCCGUUUUGUGCUGUGCAACUGGGGGACGCUCCCAAGUUUUGCCCGUCGUGUGGUAUGAACGUGGGGUUCCUUACGGAGCGUCCAUCCACGUCAUCAAGCGUAGGCCAUGGGCCUACAGAGGAUGACCUAAUACGUGCCUACUUCAGAAAGGACCACUCCAACGAGAUUAUUAGAGAUUUUUUGGUGUCAAAGCAUGGGAUUGUAAUGAGCCU